UGGUGGAGCGAUUUGUCUGGUUAAUUCCGAUAACGAACGAGACUCUAGCCUAUUAAAUAGUUCGCCGUAUCACGUUACGUCGGCGUCAACUUCUUAGAGGGACAAGUGGCGUUUAGCCACGCGAGAUUGAGCAAUAACA
rnacentral:rRNA from 1 species